GUCGCAAGCCAAGCGGCCUAAAGAAGAGUGACAGAGAGACACAAUGUAAAGAGAGAGAUGUAAUCGGGUAGAGAGAAAACUUGUAAGAGUGUAAGCUUGGGGAGAGUUAUCUUAAGUGUUACAGAGUGUUAUGAGUGAGUCUUUGGUAGCAGUAAAGAUCCAAAGAUGUCACUUGAGUGAUCUUUGUAAACUUGUCUCUGAUUAUAGUAUAUAUUGGGGAUCUGUUGAUCCCGACCGGAUGUAGUGGCUCGUUAACGCCAUGAACCGGGUUAACAACUUGGUGUGUGCUCCUGAUACGAUUAGAGCAGUAAACUAGGGAUCAAACAAUGUAAUAGGCAUAUACUUGUAUUAAUAUUGAAAGGAAUACAAAAUUGAGAGUUUUACAAUGGAGUCUCUCCCCUCCCCCGUACACUUUCACCAGAUUCUGGAUACCCUCUCUCUAUGCCCUCUCAUACUUCUUAUACUACUUUUGUGAUCUCCUCCUCACGCAAGUGCACCGUUAUGGCGAGAUGCAAUGAGAUGAUGCCACCUACUUAAUCAUGGUUAUUCCUUACUGUAGCUUCUGGGCCUUGCUCCUCCUUUGGUAUUGAUAUAGAAUAGGUGGGUGUUGGGCCGCAUAUGUAUCAGCUCCUCUCUUCUUUCUUCUCUUUCUCUGUUCUGUUUCGACUUCAUCUUUUCUAUGAUAUGCUUUGCUCUGUUUUGCUGUGACCUGCGUUGAUGUUUAUGACAUUGGUUUUAAGCUUGAGGUGUUAUAGAGGUUGUCAAAAACCCUACAGUGGUAUCAGAGCACAGGUUCGUGCGUAAAGUCUCAAGCUUUGCUCUGAAUCUUCAGGUUUCCGUGAGAAAGAUUCAAGUUUUUCCAAGGAGAAAUGCAAGCUUUGUCAAAAAGGUCACGUCUUUAUGAAGUAGAAGCUUCUAGAAGAGCGAUUUUAGAGGAGAAUGAUGAAUCUGGUUAUUAUGUCUCAAGGAAGAUGGAAUGCUAUGCUCGUUUAGAGACAUAGAUUCGCUGAAGUUGAAAAGAGAAGAAGAUGUAAGAUUUCUGUUGAAAUCUGGGUUUGGCAGAGAAAGCUUGUCGUGAGCUCUAGUGGUGUUCAGAGAUAGGCGACAAGAAAGACGUCGAGAUUCUCGCCGGAGAGUGGCUCGUGUUUUCGACAACGUCGUGAGAGAGCAAUGACGCCGUCAUGAGCAGAACGAGUCCGAGAAGAAACCUUAGGUUUUGUUGUCGAGGAACAGACAUGCGGUGAGAGAGAAUCGCGGAGGUGUGGUGACCAUAAAGUCACCGGAUAACAUUGAGACGUUGGCCGGAGAAGGUUUGACGAUGAUCGGCAGUGAGAAGAAGGGAUGUUAGGAAGGGGUGUGGUGACCAUAAAGUCACUGGUUUUUUUCUUAUGACUAAUUCUUUCACUACAUUUGUUUGUCUCAGCUAUCAUAUAUAGUUGUUGAUCUGAUGGUAUGGUGGAGCAUAAGGACAUAUAUAAAAUGGAUGUAAUGAAAUUAUUGUUAUGGGUUUGUUCAUCUUUAUAAGUUUGUGGUCCAAUGAGAAUGAGUUUGAGUUUUGGACACACUAGUGUACUGCUAAGUGGAC
rnacentral:sRNA from 1 species